rnacentral:misc_RNA from 1 species
GAAUCAUCUCUUUCUACAAUUAUAGCCAACCCCAACUUCUUGAGGUGAAGUGGGACUUAGAUGGGUGCCAAUCCAUUGCUUGUUUUCUAAAUGGUUUUGGAUUUAUCAUUUCUUAUAAAGAAUUGUGAUAUCUACUUUUCUCCUUUGGCCAUCUAUGUUUUGAAAGAUUUCGGAGUGAAAAAUCCAUAAAUAAACAUAGGUCUCACAAUUUUUGUUUUUGUUGAUUUAACAGAUUUUGCUUGAUGAUGUAAAA